UUUGGGGGCCUGAGACGUUAAGCGGAGCCGUAUUAGGUGAAGUCAAUGAUCCCAUGCUGCCGAGAAAAGCCUCUAGCGAGCUUCGAGCGGCCCGUACCCCAAACCGACACAGGUGGUCAGGUAGAGAAUACCGAGGCGAUCGGGCGAACUAUGGUUAAGGAACUCGGCAAAUUACCCCCGUAACUUCGGGAGAAGGGGGGCCACAGACUGUCAAACUCCAUGCGGGUGGCAGCGGUAGGUGGCCGCAGAGACCAGGGGGAAGCGACUGUUUACUAAAAACACAGGUCCGUGCGAAGUCGUAAGACGAUGUAUACGGACUGACGCCUGCCCGGUGCUGGAACGUUAAGGGGACCGGUUAGUCCGCAAGGGCGAGGCUGAGAACUUAAGCGCCAGUAAACGGCGGUGGUAACUAUAACCAUCCUAAGGUAGCGAAAUUCCUUGUCGGGUAAGUUCCGACCUGCACGAAUGGCGUAACGACUUCCCUACUGUCUCAACCAUAGGCCCGGCGAAAUUGCACUACGAGUAAAGAUGCUCGUUACGCGCGGAAGGACGGAAAGACCCCGGGACCUUCACUAUAGCUUGACAUUGGUACUCGAAUUGAAUUGUGUAGGAUAGGUGGGAGACUAUGAAGCUCGGACGCCAGUUCGGGUGGAGUCAAACUUGAAAUACCACUCUGUUGAAUUUGGGUAUCUAACUUCGGACCGUGAUCCGGUUCAGGGACAGUGUCUGGUGGGUAGUUUAACCGGGGCGGUUGCCUCCUAAAAUGUAACGGAGGCGCCCAAAGGUUCCCUCAGCCUGGUUGGCAAUCAGGUGUUGAGUGCAAGUGCACAAGGGAGCUUGACUGUGCGACUGACAGGUCGAGCAGCGACGAAAGUCGGGACUAGUGAUCCGGCACCUGCGAGUGGAAGCGGUGUCGCUCAACGGAUAAAAGGUACCCCGGGGAUAACAGGCUGAUCUUCCCCAAGAGUCCAUAUCGACGGGAUGGUUUGGCACCUCGAUGUCGGCUCGUCGCAUCCUGGGGCUGGAGUAGGUCCCAAGGGUUGGGCUGUUCGCCCAUUAAAGCGGCACGCGAGCUGGGUUUAGAACGUCGUGAGACAGUUCGGUCCCUAUCCUCCGCGCGCGCAGGAGACUUGAGAAGGGCUGUCCCUAGUACGAGAGGACCGGGACGGACGAACCUCUGGUGUGCCAGUCGUCAUGCCAAUGGCACGGCUGGUUAGCUACGUUCGGAAGGGAUAACCGCUGAAAGCAUCUAAGCGGGAAGCCUGCUUCAAGAUGAGGUCUCCCACCCCUUGAGGGUUAAGGCCCCCAGCUAGACCACUGGGUUGAUAGGCCAGAAGUGUAAGCCUGGUAACAGGUUCAGCCGACUGGUACUAAUAGGCCGAGGGC
rnacentral:rRNA from 1 species